CGGUGCCACAGCGGGGAGCGAGUUGGGCUGUCCUCGGAACCCUGGGACACCGAGACGGGCUGCCCUGGGCUUCCCCCUGGCAUUCUGUGAGAGGGGCUGCCCUCCGCCAUGGUGCUCCGAGAUGGGCAGCUUUGAGCGCCACCACAGCACUCUGACAGGGGCUGCCCUCAUAUCCACAAUGGCACCCUGAGAAGGGCAUCCCUCAGCCCCACCAUGGCACCCUGAGAGGAGCUGCCCUCAUUCCCCAUGGUGCCAAAAAAGGAGGUAUUCUGAGCCAUGGUGCCACCAUGGCACCCAGAGAAGGGCAGUUUUCAACCCUACCAUAGUGCCUAGAGAUGUGCAGCUCUCAGCUCCACCAUUGGACGGAGAGGAGCAGCCCUGAGCCCUGCCAUGGCACUCUCAGGGGGGUUGCCCUCUGCGCCCUCAUGGAGCCCAGAGAUGAGCAGCCCUUGGCCCUGCUAUGAUGUCUCGAGAGGGUCUCCUCAGAGGAGCAGCCCAUGGCCCCACUAAAGCAUGCAGUGAGAGGAGCUGUCCUCAGUCCAUGGCAGCAUCCAGAAAGUGGCUGCUCUCAGUCCUGCCAUGGCACCCUGAGGGGGACAGGCACACCCCUGCCAAGCUGGGAGUUAACCAGGCCCUUCUGAGCCAGAAUUAAACAGGCCAUUCUGGGCCAUGCCCCUCUCAGAAGGCUUUCUGUUCUGACUGCAGAUAAAAGCCUUCUCUUUGGCGCACUGUGCUGUUGGAACAGGGGUGUCCCCAGCACAAGCCACACAGCUGCAAGCAUCGCUUAUGUUGGUCAGCAGCUCUGUCAGUAUUUCAUACAGGGUACUCCUCCCAAGCUGAUGGUAGCACUCCCACACUUUGUCCUGAUGCAGCUGGACACACCUUGCUGCAGACAGAAAGAGGUGCUCGAGCUGGCACGCAGUCCCUCUGGAUUUUGGGUCCCCCACAGAGCAGCUGCCCAGUCAGUUUCCUUCCAUGGGGUGCAGAAAAGCCCUGACCCCCAGCACCAGAGGGAAAGGUGAGAAUGACAUGUGGGAUGACACAUCUCUGCACAGACCUAAUCCUGUAUUCCACACCCUUCCCAGGGUUAAGUUCUGAGCUACCUCAGAGGCCUCCUCCAGCCCACACAGCUCAGCCAUAGUUCCUUUGAGGCAGAAUCAUGCAGCAAGAGAACGGUUCCUAAUUAAACACCCACUUAGGAAGAUGGAGCUAUGCCAUGGAUUACAUUUCUGAUGGCCUAUAUACUCCCAUGUGAUCAGCAUGCAGAGCUGUCAGAAGGCUGUAACUCUGUGUGGCAUUUUUAAUCACAUGAAGAUUCCUUCAAAGCUACCAGAGCUUGACUGCUGAUGCUCUUGCCUUGAGGGAGAGUUGUAAGCUCAUUUGCAGGGGAGAAAGACAGACAGACAGACAGAAAGGAAGAGGACAAUUGGCUUAAAGUCGAUUUUUAAUGAGGCAGGAUUUCUCUGGUCUAUGCUUUGAUACGCAACUUUGCUCCUGACCAAGAUCCACUUCAAAUGACAGAGAUUUAGCUGUGGAAGCAGAGGAUCUCCUUGGAGACAGACAGAUCAAUGCCUGCUGAAGCAGCUCAGUUGAAGAAAUAGCUUUGGGAAUGGAAAUUACCACAAAGAAGAUUUGUGAAUAGAAUCCUAAAAGAUACCUAAUCUGGCCUUUUUCCAGGAGCUGUGUAGACAACAAACUAGGGCUUGAGAAUAAGGGCAGUGUACUAAAUGAGAGCAUGUUAGGUUUUCGGCUAGAAAAGUUUACAGAAGCAGCUCAGCAACAGAAAUACAACACCCAUCUUGUGGAGUCACCUCCCCUGAAGUGGCCGAGGUUGUUCUUCCUGCCAAGGGAACGAGGGCACACAGAGCCUUCUGUCCACAGAGCGCUCGCCUUGGCCCAGGCACAAAUGGGAGCUUUUCUUUCCUCCUGCUCAGAAGGCACCAAGAAUGAGGUGUUUGGCCAUGGAAACCGGAAUUGCUUCAGCCUCAGUAAGAAGGACUCACUGUUUGCAGGCACAGCAUCAUUUCCCCCAGCACACUGUUGUUCUUGAAUUGCACACCAGAACCUGGGAAGGAAAGAGGAGGAGAGAGGGGUGAAUAACUGCAUUGGAUUUUCUAACUACAAAUUCUUUCUACUGUUCUUAGCCUAUUCUUUGUUGUAUUGCUUGUAUAUUGCUGCAACAGUCUUCAAGUAUUUCAUUAAGUAUUGGACAGGUGAGCUGACUAAUGGACGUUCCAAAUUUCACAUCCUUUUCCUUCUCUUCGUGGCAAUCAUGUUCUUUGUAAGCCUCAUGUUUCUGUUUGGCUACCACUGCUGGCUCGUCAGCAGGAACAGAUCCACUCUAGAGGCUUUCUCAGCUCCAGUGUUUCAAAAUGGCCCAGAUAAAAAUGGAUUCAAUCUUGGCUUUGUGAAGAAUCUCCAGCAAGUGUUUGGGGAAGAAAAAAAACUCUGGCUGCUGCCUAUUGCCUCUAGCCAGGGGGAUGGACAUUUUUUCCCAAUGAGAGCCUUGAGUGAAGCUCGGAACCCUCUCCUGAUAAAUGAGGAGCAGUGGGAAGAGGAUGGAAUAGAUGAAGAGCCUCAGGGCUCUGGUGAAGCCUCAUCCCUCGCCAUAGAAAGGGAGACAUAGCAGUGUGAAAGCACAGUGGUGUAAAGCUGGAUCAGAAAGCUUCCCUCUCAGGAGCCAACAUCCCUUCUCUUGGCAAGGACUUCAGUUUUGAGGGUCAGAAAACAGGUGGAUCUUCAAGAUGAAAAAACAUCCUGAAGUAUUGUCUGAUGGGAAUCUGCAUUCUAGAGUGCUUCUCCAGGAAUCCUGCUGUCCAGAUGUCCCAAGGCUUUAUAAGUUUAAGUUACAGACUUAACAGAACAAUUUUACAGAGUGAUUCUGGCCAAUCUUCUUUGGCCUGCUCUCUUUAUUUUAUAAAUACUAUAUAUUUUUUAUUCAAAACAGGUAAAAAUGUUGAUGCGAGUGCAUUUCCAAAGGCCUUUUCAUUUUGCAAACAUCAGGGACUCGAGCUCUUGAAAUUCUUGCAAGCCAUAAUAUUCUUGGGGAUGGUUAUUUAUUUUGAGGCUGAUUCUCCAACCUUCUCUGACAAGUGACAUUUUCUAAUGUGUUUAAAUUCUAAGUCAGUCAGAUCAGCUCAAUGCAAGACAGACCCAGUUAAAUCUGGCACUAAAUUGGUAGCUGAAUGUAAGAAUAUUGAAAGCAAAAGCGCUGAACAUGCACAGGUACAUGUGCAGCUGUGAAUGAAAAUAAAAUAUUCACAUUGCCAGUAUCAAGAUUCAAGAAUAUUGUGGCCAUAGAUUUUUUUAAACUGUUUUUUAGGGGGGUGUUAUUGUCUUAGAGUUUGAGUAAUAGUGCUUUUGAAUCCUAAUUGCAGGCUCCUAAAAUGCAAAAGGGAACUUCAGACAGUCCAAUUUGCAUUAAUUCCUAGGGCUAAAAUGUUAUCUCAUUCCUGGAUCAGUGUUUGAUGGAGAUUUGUGUGUUCAUGGAGUCAGAAAGGAAGAUGUGAGUUCGAAAUGUGCACUGAAAGUGUGGCUCCAUGAGUCGUGUUUGGAGUUUACACUCCUCAGGGGUGGUUUGAACCCCAAAAUGUUGAAGACACAAUUGAUAUAUUGAAUUUUAUCAGAUUUCUUCCCAGCUCAGUGCACUGACUGGCUUCAGGGGUUUCUGCACUAAGAGGUGAUCAGAUUUGUUUCUGCAUUUUGCUGCAUUUACAGUCGAAGAGGUGGAUCCCUGUUUUUGUUCUGGGGAAUGGAACUGAGACUUGGCUGGCUGGAUUAUGGACAUUUUUCUAGACCUGAGUCCUUUUUUUUAUUUGCAUGAUUCAGCCCAGUCCAUCAUUCUUGUUUGAAUUAGGUGCAUGCUAAAAGUAUUGGUGUACUGCCUCUAAGAUCAUUUAGUACCAUUUUCUAUCCCAUUUUUGUGUUUAACAGCCCAUUGAUGUUGGCAGUGGCUACAGGAGCAGGAGCUGCUGAGUGAGUUUGGUGAUGGAGGCUUUUCUUGCAGACUAAACCCCUCUUUCCUCUGUUCCUUUGCUGCUGCUGCCACAGGGAAUGUGUUUGUGAGCCAGGAGAGCCUUGCAGAGGUUCCUUCCCUAAGAAAAGGUGUUUAACUCCUGGUUGAUCCGCGCCCUGUGGGUGGGAAUUUUGUCCUCAGCCUCUGCAGUUUGUGUGGAGCAGGCAUUGCUGACCUCUCUGCGAUGUCUCGCUGCUGAAUUUGGUUUGAGGGGCCAAGGUGGGCUGGCCCAGGCUUGUGUGGCUUUGUGUCUCUCCUCAGGGUGGCCCUGAGCACUGAAAAUGUUCCUGCUUCAGCCACCUGAGCCCCAUCUGUUGAGUGGGUUUGUCACCAAACUGCUGCUGAGUGCUGGAAGGGUUUUUCCUGUCAAUCUGAAGCUGCAUUUCUAAUGUGAAUCUGGUGUUGGACCUUGUGCUGUGUGUGAUGCAAUGUGGCAGCUGAAUUAAUCCCCUCAUUCCUGGCAAAAUGUGCUCUGGAGAGGGAGCUUGAGAGGAUGAUGGCAGCUAAACACAGCCAGAAUUUAGCACCUACAGAGGUGCUAUUUGUGCCUUUAAAAACUUUAAAUUCCUUGUACCACGAAGAUGAUUUGGUGACUUUGUUUCAUCCUGUCAGCUGAAGUGUAUUUUUCCAGAGGUUGUGUGGAUUUCUGAGCAGGUUCUUGUGCCCUUCUUGGGCUUGGUUCUGGUUCCAGCCCUGUCAUUAUUUGAGUUCUUUGUGUGCCAGGCAGCAGCAGCAGAGCUGUGCAGGAGCUCCCUGCCUGUUCCUGCUGCUGCACUGCUCAUUAGGGAGUACAGAAAAUCAGGCUUUGUCUUCUAAUACUAAGCCAGGUAUCUUCAUGAUGGUACAGGUACCAAGCUCAGUUUAAGAAAGGUUUUUAAAUGUUUCCAAGUAACUUUUAUUGAGUCACUUUUCUUGUAAUUAAUUAAGGUCAUCUCUUCCCUUUCCUUCAAAGCAACUAAAAGCCUCCCAUGGUUGUAACAAGCUCUUGUCCAGGUGGAAACAAUAGAGAGUUUAUCACUUCAGAGCCACUUCUCAAUAUCCACACGUCAGAUGCUGGAAGGCUUCAUGAAAUAUGAAACAAACCCAAAAGUUGUGUAAAAUGAGGCAGAACAGAAUGGGGAAAACCCACAAGUCUGAGUGAGCAGCUCCAUUUUGUUCCCUUCUGCCUCCUUAAGGUGAUACCCUUAUUUUACCCCUGGCCUUUGUGCUUUUUAUGCUUUUUUAAAUGCACUGGAAGACAGAAGUUCCUCAGGCUGACGUGGUCACUGCUGCAGGUGACAAGAGAGAGAAUAUUCAGCCCAGUGUGUGGUAGUUUCUUUUAACCUACAAAUGGCUCUUCAAGGGUAACCCACUGCAGCACCUCCUUCGUUUUCCAUGCCCUGAUCCUCAUCCAGAGGUUCUCCACCAUCAUCACUGACUGUAAGGGCUGUAUCAUCAAACCUCUCCCCCACCUGCCCUCCAUCCCAGCAUUCCAGGAGUGGGAUUCAUCCCACCAAGUCCCUUCAACACCAAGGUACUGCAGCUCUGGGAGCUGCCCAGCGAUUCCAGUUCAUCCUGUGCUGGUGUCCCAGCACUCCAGGUACACCCUGAGCCCUCCAUGUGCCAGCAGCAGCCACCAGUGUUCACUGUCACUCUCUGGCUGGGUGCUGGAGAUGCAGCUCCAGUCAGAGAACCUGGAGAAUUGUAAAGGUUUGAGUCAGUUCUGGUGCUGCUGUCAGUUGUGUGCCUGAAGGUGUUCCACUCCAGCCUGGGAAGUGUCUCAACCCCCUCCAGGGGCUGUUUGCUCUGCUCAGCAUUGGAGCUGCACUACAGCUUUCUCAGCUAUGAACAACUUUUCCAAGUGAUGUCACCACAGGAAAGGAGGGAAUGCUUUUGUUGGACUUUACUGUGAGGCCUCCAUUGUUAUCCCUGUAGUCCUGGAUUCAUCCUCUAAAAUAACUGACCACUAACCUCACCUCCUCACCUCUCCCCCCUCUCUCCCAUUUACAUUCAGGUACAAAAUCCCAGACAGAGCAUCACAUUGAUGUUUCUCUGUGUGGAACUGUCCAGUCAAGUCCAGUCCUGGGCCAGCAAGUCCUGCCCAAGGAACCAGGACUUGUGCAAUGCUCACUGCACUGCCAGGUUUCUCUUGCUGAGCUGGAAGAUUUUGAAGUAGGAUAAUCUUGUUUUCCUUCAAGCAGGGAGCAGUUCUGUGUUUGAGGAGGCUGUAUCCAGUGUGUGUGGGGUGCAGUCACUGGUGAGAAUCAGGAAGAUUCCAAACCACACUAUGCAAUGAAUGUUUGCUUCCUGGGACAAACAGGAAUGGAUUCAGCAAAAUCCACACCAGCUGCAGCUCUGUAGUUCUAGAUGCUGGUCUGGAAUGAAAGCACAACUUGAUGCAUAAAGUCUGUAAUAUGAUAUGAAUGUAAAAUGUCAAGGGGAAACAAUAUAAAAAAGUUAAUUAUUUUUUCCCUGUAUUUAGCUAUGAAGAAUGAUGUGCUGAGCAGUUACUCUGUGCAGAGUUACUCUGCUGAGCAGUUACUCUGCACAGAGCUGGUGCACUCAUGGAAGGGUUUAAUUAGCAGGGGAAGAAAUCACUGCUGACCUUGUUUAUUAAGCCAGAAUUAAUUAACUCAAAAGGGUCAUAUUUUAAUUUCAAUGACUCCUGUGGUACAGAUUUCUGAAAUGGAUCCAUAGUACUUGAAAAUACCUCAAUUUUAUUGAUAUUUUUCCAAUUCUAUCCGCUUCUACUUUAUUACAGAACACUUGCAAACCUCCAGUCAUUCUGAACAGAUCACUGAAGGUGUUUGUGUGGCAGAGGGGCUGUUUUCAUUCCCAGCCUGACCUGGCAGACCCUGCCCUGCUCACAAACACUGAGCUCGCACCCACUGCUGCAGGGUUUUAGUCUCCUGUCCUUUUUCCAUCCCACUUUGAGUGUUCCCUCUUCCUCCUGAACAUACAGUUAAGUAUCUUCAGCUUUGAGCAGCUUGUGCUGGUUUUUUUGGGGUACUGUGAAGGUGAGUAGGUGUCAUUUUAUGCAGUUGUGCCACGCAUUUUAUUUGUAAUUAAUCUCUCUGUUUGUCAGGUAUUGGUUUGUAGUUCCAUCAUCAGGCCCAGCUGGCUUUGCUUAGAGCAGGAUCCCACUUCCUGCAUUUUCUCUUUCCUAAAAGCCUCAUUUCUUCAUUCUCCAGCUUUCUUUUGGGAUGUAAACCUUGUGAAAUAAAAUGUAAGUUUACAUUUCAAAUACAAGCCUGUAAGUUGCUCAUGCCUGCAUGCUCCUUAAAAUACUGUUGUUUUCUGUAUGAGGUUUUAAGAUUUACAGCAGCAUUUGUAAAACUUUAAAUGUGGGUAAAAACUUUAAAAAGUGGGUAAAUUGUUAAAAAAAAAAAAAUUAUGUUAAGGAGGGUGGAAAAAACCACAACCCCCAAAAAAUCCAACAAAAAUGACAAAGGGAUCAUCUCUGCUUCUUAUUCCAGCUGUGCUUGAAAAGAAAUACCUGCUUGCAUCCAGUGCUGGUGUCAGACAGCCCCUGGAACAUGCAGGUACCUGACCGAUGGCUUCCCUGCUGCUUCAGUACUUCCUGAAGCACUCCUUGAGUUAAACCUUGCACAGAUCCCACGGGAAACCUGAAACCCAACACCAUCGGCCUCCCCCUCUCCUUUCUAACCGGGGGAAGGUGUGUGCAGCCCCUUCUCAGCACUUCCCUCUGUAAGAGGAACAGAAGCCCACAGUGAAAGUGUUGGUGUAUUACUUCCCCCCCAUUUUCUGGAGGAUCCGGGAGCCCCCAGGACAUGUCCCAGAACUCCCUCAGCAUCUGGAAUGUUGCUGAUGUCAUGAACUGCUGAGCUGGUGCAGGUGACCUUCCCUGGGAGGGAGGAGGUGGGACCUGCUGUUCCUCUGCUCUCAUUUAACCCCAUCCUUCUCUGGAAUUAAGCACGCUAUGGAGUGGCUUCCUGCUCUACUCAGAGCUACUCCAGAGUGAUUCCAAAUCUGUUGUUGGAGCAGGGAACUUUGGGUUAGGAACACGGGAAGCAGGAAAAGUCUUUGUUAUUUUAUAAAUUUAUAAUCUGUCUGCUCAGCUGGCUGCUCCUCAUCUGAAAAUGCUGUUUGUGGUACAAAUGGGUCCCUCGAAGAUGGAACCGAGCUAAAUCUCAGGAUCAGGGAAUGGCAGAGCUGUGGUGUAUGAAACCCCAGGAGGGUUUUUUGCCCCUGGCAAAUGGGGCUGGAGCAGAACCCCACUGCAGGGGCUGCUGUGGGUCAGGGGGAUCCUUUGGGAGCUCCCUCUGGGGCGGGAUCAGCGCUGCCAUUCCUGAUGGAGCUGACAAUUGGGAAACAGCAGCAAUCCCCUGGAGUGGUCUGGAACUGCAUCCAGCUGCUUUUUAGGAGCCCAGCAUGGCCUGGGGCUGGCAGCUGUUCCAGUCAGAACUGGUGGCUUAAUACACAUCUCUCCCCACUAAUUCAGUGGGAAUUCUUUUCCAAGGAAUGUCACACUGGGAUUGCUGCCCACACCUUUGGGGUGUUGUGUUCAGGAGUUUAAUGCUGCUGCUGCUGCUGGCAUUGAGACUUUUGAUAUCAAAUGGGUUUUUACAAAAGCUUUGGAUACUUGUUUUUACUGUUGGACCAAUGUUCUGACUAUGCUGAUGCUCUGUGGAGUUUCACUGGCAUUUUCCAAGUGUUUGUACAGUUUCUACAGCUGAAUAUCCUGUACGUUCUGCUUUGUUGUUUUUUAUUAUGGUUUCUACUGCACUGCAGGCAAGAACUGCAUUAAAACCAUUUUUGGCUAAUUCA